AAAGAAUUAGUUAAUUACCUAACAUUAAAUUGUCAAUUUAAAAUUAUUAUUUUAUAAAUAAUAUUCUUUU
rnacentral:tRNA from 2 species